CUGUGGAUGACAUCUCCAAGUCAAUGCAAAAAGUAGAAAUAGCCGACAUUGAUCCUCCUCCAUUAAUUCGUGAAAAUUCUGGAUUUGGGUUCUUGCUUCCACGCUCCGAGUGAUGUUCAUGUUCCCCCCUGUAUAUGGAAGUCUGUGGGGGGCCCUGUGCAAGAACAUGCCAAGACCUGUGCAUAUAACCUCAUUGUUUUUAUCACCAUCCAUGUGUAUAUUAUAUUUUGCAUUAGUCUCAGGCUACCAUCUUUGGUGUACAGGUC
rnacentral:misc_RNA from 1 species